AAAGCGCCUGUAGGUUGUUUAAUAAGUCUGUUGUUAAAGACUGGGGCUUAACCCCAGGAAAGCAAUGGAAACUACUAGACUAGAGUAUGGUAGGGGUAAAGGGAAUUUCUAGUGUAGCGGUGAAAUGCGUAGAUAUUAGAAAGAACACCGGUGGCGAAAGCGCUUUACUGGACCAUUACUGUCACUCAGAGGCGAAAGCUAGGGUAGCCAAAGGGAUUAGAUACCCCUGUAGUCCUAGCCGUAAACGAUGGAUACUAGAUGUUGCGCUUAUUGUGCAGUGUCGUAGCUAACGCGUUAAGUAUCCCGCCUGGGGAGUACGCUCGCAAGGGUGAAACUCAAAGGAAUUGACGGGGGCCCGCACAAGCGGUGGAGCAUGUGGUUUAAUUCGAUGCAACGCGAAGAACCUUACCAGGGCUUGACAUACUGCAAAUUUUCUUGAAAGAGAAAAGUGCCUUCGGGAAUGCAGAUACAGGUGGUGCAUGGCUGUCGUCAGCUCGUGUCGUGAGAUGUUGGGUUAAGUCCCGCAACGAGCGCAACCCUCGUUUUCAGUUGCCAUUUUAUGGGUUCUCUAGAAAGACUGCCAGUGACAAACCGGAGGAAGGUGGGGAUGACGUCAAGUCAGCAUGCCCCUUAUGCCCUGGGCUACACACGUGCUACAAUGGCUAAGACAAAGAGUCGCGAAUUCGCGAGAAUCAGCUAAUCUCAUAAACUUAGUCUAAGUUCAGAUUGUAGGCUGCAACUC
rnacentral:rRNA from 1 species